CCUGCCCCGAGAAACAUUGCUAGUAUGGCUGCUAUGUCACAUGUGCAUGUGUGUACGCAGGUGGCAGAGAGGAGAGAGGCCGAGUCUACACUCAGUGUUCUGCAUAGCUGAAUGAUUUGUAGUCUAACAUU